CAGAGGUCUCAACCGUUGUUCGGAUUCAUUGGGCGUAAAGGGUGCGUAGGCGGUCGGGUAAGUCGGAUGUGAAAUCUCAGGGCUCAACCCUGAAACUGCAUUCGAUACUGCCUGGCUAGGGUACUGGAGAGGAGACUGGAAUUUACGGUGUAGCAGUGAAAUGCGUAGAUAUCGUAAGGAAGACCAGUGGCGAAGGCGAGUCUCUGGACAGUUACCGACGCUGAGGCACGAAGGUCAGGGGAGCAAACGGGAUUAGAUACCCCGGUAGUCCUGACAGUAAACGGUGUACGUUUGGUGUAGGCGGAUUCGACCCCGCCUGUGCCGGAGCUAACGCGUUAAACGUACCGCCUGGGAAGUACGGUCGCAAGAUUA
rnacentral:rRNA from 1 species